ensembl:miRNA MIR3529 microRNA 3529
GGACGGCCGCGGUGCCCUCUGGAAGACUAGUGAUUUUGUUGUUGUAUGGCUCAUCCCACCACAACAAGUCACAGUCUGCCUUAGGGCGCACGGCCCCGC